rnacentral:tRNA from 1 species
GUUGAAAUAGCUCAGUGGGAGAGCGUUAGACUGAAGAUCUUGAGGUCCUGACUUCAAAUCUGUCUCAACA